UGCCAAAUUAAGAAUGAAAAAGCAAGAAAAUUUAGCUGGAAAUUAAUUUAAGGUCACAGAACACGGUUUGGGGGAUGAAGCAUCCACAUGGGUUUGUAAAUUUGCUGUUCCACAUCCCGAGCCAGAGGUGGACCUGUUUAAUAUUGUCAGGCAGGAAAAAAAGGGUAAUAGAAAAAACACGGAAGUUUGGUUGAUUUCACAGCCUCACUUGUCUUAAAAAAUUAAACCUUGUCUAAUGAGUUCAAGAAAGAUGUACGAAUAUACAUUGCAUCAUGUUUAAACAAUCUGAGUGAAUGAAAGAGAAAAGUGUCCUGGGGGUGGGUAGAGGGAGGGGAGGAAAGUGGGGAGGUGACACCUGCAGAGGGGAGGGGCCCUCAGAAUGGCUCUUGAACUCGUGUGGGUCACAGACCCUCUGACAGCCUGAUGGAAGCUUUCUCAGAAAAAUGAUAGGUGAUUUUGCAUAUAGUCUCUGAAACACAUCCUCAUUCACAAGCUGCAGAUGAUAAACCCCUGGGUUUGGUGGGAAGUUCCUACCAGCAUCAGGAGACCAGUGUUUGUGGACAAUCCUUUGGAAUCCUUACAACUUUUAAAACUUUGUGGUAAAAUGUACACAACAUAAAAUCCAUCAUUUUAAGCAGUUUUAGAUGUAUAGUUCAGUGGCAUUAAGUACAUUCACCUUGUUGUACAACCGUCCCACCGUCUACGUCCAGAAUCAUUUCAUCUUCCCCAAACUGAAACUCUGUCUCCAUUAAACACUCACUCCCCAUCCCCUCCCCCAGCCCCUGGUACGCACCAUCCACUUCCUGUCUCGGUGAAUUUGACUCCUCUGGGGAUCUCAUAUGAGUGGAAUCAGACACACAGUAUUUGUCCUUUGGUGACUGGCUUAUGUCACUGAGCAUAAUGUCCUCAAGGUUCAUCCAUGUUAUAGCAGGUGUCAGAAGUUCCUCCCUUUUUAAGGCUGAAUAAUAUUCUAUUUUGUGUGUAGCCCACGUUUUGUUUAUCCAUCAUCCAUCAGCGGACACUGGGUUGCCUCCACCUCCUGGCUGUUGUGAGUAAUGCUGUGGACACGGGUCUGUAAACAUCUCUUCAUGUCCCCACGUUCAGUUCUUUGGGGGAUAUACCCAGAAGUGGAAUUAUUAGAUCAUAUGGUAACUCUGUUUAAUUUUUCGGGGAAUCACCACACAUGUUUUCCACAUCAGUUGUACUACUCUACAUUUUGAUAUAACGUAGAGUUGUAAUAGGGAAGAACAUUUUGUAUUCUCUUACAAGUUAAUUUAAGCCGAUAAGCUUAAAUUCCACACAAUGGCCCAUCUCGGACCCUUGCCUCCGAGAGAUGAAGGUAAAUGAGCAUUCAGCUCAAACACCUGUGUGUUUAGCUCCCAAGAAACCUCCUGAGCAGGCCCACCUGUGAAUGACUGCAGGAGGGAGAAAUGAACACCUCCCCUCCGGAGGCUGACGGGAACCAGGAAGUGCUUGGCUUUAGUCCCGCCCCUUGUAGUAUAAAAGGAGCCCGACUGCUGCCGCAGGCAAGACGGCUCCUGGGGGCACGAGCCCACCGUCUUCUGGGUUUGGGGGCUCUCCGAAGGAAGUCGUUAUUCUUUGCCCAGCAACUCGUCUCCUGAUUAUUGGCCUGUCCUGUGGCGAGCAGUGAGAGCUUGGGCAUCCAAGGCAUCUUCUUUGGGAAAAUUAUCAAUCACACAGGUGAUGGUGUGACAGACGUUUCUCCAGCUGGACGGUGAACCCAGGAUGCGGAUCACCACAGUCUGUGCCAUGAAGUCCUCAGCGCCGCACACAGAGCCUGUGGGACCAGCCGCUCUAGAGAGUGUGCGGGGUGGAGCCUGACGUCGCCCGGAAAGAAACAGAAAUUUGAGGAUGCCAUCACCCAUUGGCUAAACAGAGGUCGGAAUGGGCACGACUGCUACGAUUACCACCAGCGCCACCACGAUGAGGAUGCUGCGAUCGGUCCCUGGAGCCCCUAGGGCUUCAGGCACGGAGCCAGCAUCAACUACGACGACUACUGACCGUCGCUCAGGCGGGCUCGGGGCCGCAGGCUCCGCACGAUGCCCGGGCUGUGUCUGCUGCGCCCGUUCUCGGUUCAUCCUUCCUACCCGUUUUCUGUGGCCACAAAGGAAGAGUUAAAGCAAAGAACGUAAAUGCCUUUCGAGGUUUCAUGCAAGUACCUAACAAUGCAUUUCAUUUAAAAAUAGAAAUAAAAACAUUUUGUUAACACAUCUCAGAGUUCACUUGGAUGAAACUUGAGCUGGCGAGAGUUUUCCUUCCCUGCAUGUUUCUGAGGUUGAAGCAACCUCUCAGAGGCACCUCCCCUCUGCUAUCUGAAGUGUUACCUCUCCAAGAAUUCCCACCACCCCAGACCAUGGGACCGAGCAGGGGUCUUCAAUGUAUUCGAAUUCAGUCCACACUAAAUGCCAAAUUAAGAAUGAAAAAGCAAGAAAAUUUAGCUGGAAAUUAAUUUAAGGUCACAGAACACGGUUUGGGGGAUGAAGCAUCCACAUGGGUUUGUAAAUUUGCUGUUCCACAUCCCGAGCCAGAGGUGGACCUGUUUAAUAUUGUCAGGCAGGAAAAAAAGGGUAAUAGAAAAAACACGGAAGUUUGGUUGAUUUCACAGCCUCACUUGUCUUAAAAAAUUAAACCUUGUCUAAUGAGUUCAAGAAAGAUGUACGAAUAUACAUUGCAUCAUGUUUAAACAAUCUGAGUGAAUGAAAGAGAAAAGUGUCCUGGGGGUGGGUAGAGGGAGGGGAGGAAAGUGGGGAGGUGACACCUGCAGAGGGGAGGGGCCCUCAGAAUGGCUCUUGAACUCGUGUGGGUCACAGACCCUCUGACAGCCUGAUGGAAGCUUUCUCAGAAAAAUGAUAGGUGAUUUUGCAUAUAGUCUCUGAAACACAUCCUCAUUCACAAGCUGCAGAUGAUAAACCCCUGGGUUUGGUGGGAAGUUCCUACCAGCAUCAGGAGACCAGUGUUUGUGGACAAUCCUUUGGAAUCCUUACAACUUUUAAAACUUUGUGGUAAAAUGUACACAACAUAAAAUCCAUCAUUUUAAGCAGUUUUAGAUGUAUAGUUCAGUGGCAUUAAGUACAUUCACCUUGUUGUACAACCGUCCCACCGUCUACGUCCAGAAUCAUUUCAUCUUCCCCAAACUGAAACUCUGUCUCCAUUAAACACUCACUCCCCAUCCCCUCCCCCAGCCCCUGGUACGCACCAUCCACUUCCUGUCUCGGUGAAUUUGACUCCUCUGGGGAUCUCAUAUGAGUGGAAUCAGACACACAGUAUUUGUCCUUUGGUGACUGGCUUAUGUCACUGAGCAUAAUGUCCUCAAGGUUCAUCCAUGUUAUAGCAGGUGUCAGAAGUUCCUCCCUUUUUAAGGCUGAAUAAUAUUCUAUUUUGUGUGUAGCCCACGUUUUGUUUAUCCAUCAUCCAUCAGCGGACACUGGGUUGCCUCCACCUCCUGGCUGUUGUGAGUAAUGCUGUGGACACGGGUCUGUAAACAUCUCUUCAUGUCCCCACGUUCAGUUCUUUGGGGGAUAUACCCAGAAGUGGAAUUAUUAGAUCAUAUGGUAACUCUGUUUAAUUUUUCGGGGAAUCACCACACAUGUUUUCCACAUCAGUUGUACUACUCUACAUUUUGAUAUAACGUAGAGUUGUAAUAGGGAAGAACAUUUUGUAUUCUCUUACAAGUUAAUUUAAGCCGAUAAGCUUAAAUUCCACACAAUGGCCCAUCUCGGACCCUUGCCUCCGAGAGAUGAAGGUAAAUGAGCAUUCAGCUCAAACACCUGUGUGUUUAGCUCCCAAGAAACCUCCUGAGCAGGCCCACCUGUGAAUGACUGCAGGAGGGAGAAAUGAACACCUCCCCUCCGGAGGCUGACGGGAACCAGGAAGUGCUUGGCUUUAGUCCCGCCCCUUGUAGUAUAAAAGGAGCCCGACUGCUGCCGCAGGCAAGACGGCUCCUGGGGGCACGAGCCCACCGUCUUCUGGGUUUGGGGGCUCUCCGAAGGAAGUCGUUAUUCUUUGCCCAGCAACUCGUCUCCUGAUUAUUGGCCUGUCCUGUGGCGAGCAGUGAGAGCUUGGGCAUCCAAGGCAUCUUCUUUGGGAAAAUUAUCAAUCACACAGGUGAUGGUGUGACAGACGUUUCUCCAGCUGGACGGUGAACCCAGGAUGCGGAUCACCACAGUCUGUGCCAUGAAGUCCUCAGCGCCGCACACAGAGCCUGUGGGACCAGCCGCUCUAGAGAGUGUGCGGGGUGGAGCCUGACGUCGCCCAGAAAG